rnacentral:rRNA from 1 species
GAGUUUGAUCAUGGCUCAGGAUGAACGCUGGCGGUAUGCUUUAUACAUGCAAGUCGUAUGAGAGUUUUUAACUCAAGUGGCGGACGGGUGAGUAACACGUAAGAAUUUGCCUUUAGGAGGGGGAUAACAACUGGAAACGGUUGCUAAUACCCCAUAUGCUUUUGAGUGAAAUGGAUUUUUCCGCCUAAAGAGAAGCUUGCGGCUGAUUAGCUUGCUGGUAAGGUAAUGGCUUACCAAGGCGACGAUCAGUAUCUGGUUUGAGAGGACGAUCAGACACACUGGAACUGAGACACGGUCCAGACUCCUACGGGAGGCAGCAGUAGGGAAUUUUCCGCAAUGGGCGAAAGCCUGACGGAGCAAUACCGCGUGAGGGAUGACGGCCUAUGGGUUGUAAACCUCUUUUUUCAGGGAGGAACAAAAUGACGUGUACCUGAAGAAUAAGCAUCGGCUAACUCCGUGCCAGCAGCCGC